GAUGAACGCUGGCGGCGUGCCUAACACAUGCAAGUCGAGCGAGGGUUUGCUCAGUAUUGAGUAUUCUAAGACUAGAAUGUUCAAUUCUGAGCAAAACCAAGCGGCGGACGGGUGAGUAACGCGUGGGUAACCUGCCCUAUACACAUGGAUAACAUACUGAAAAGUUUACUAAUACAUGAUAAUAUAUAUUUGCGGCAUCGUAGAUAUAUCAAAGUGUUAGCGGUAUAGGAUGGACCCGCGUCUGAUUAGCUAGUUGGUGAGAUAACUGCCCACCAAGGCGACGAUCAGUAGCCGACCUGAGAGGGUGAUCGGCCACAUUGGAACUGAGACACGGUCCAAACUCCUACGGGAGGCAGCAGUGGGGAAUAUUGCACAAUGGGCGAAAGCCUGAUGCAGCAACGCCGCGUGAACGAUGAAGGUCUUCGGAUCGUAAAGUUCUGUUGCAGGGGAAGAUA
rnacentral:rRNA from 1 species